rnacentral:rRNA from 1 species
CCAGCUCCAAUAGCGUAUAUUAAAGUUGUUGCAGUUAAAAAGCUCGUAGUUGGAUUUCAAGAGAUUCAUCCGGGUAAACCGGCUUGAUCUCUACGGUCUUAGACUGUUACUGUGAGAAAAUUAGAGUGUUCAAAGCAGGCUAUUGCAGGAAUAUAUUAGCAUGGAAUAACGAAUGUAUCUACAAUUUGGUUAAUUGUAGAUUUCAAUUAAUAGGGACAGUUGGGGGCAUUAGUAUUUAAUUGUCAGAGGUGAAAUUCUUGGAUUAGUUAAAGACUAACGUAUGCGAAAGCAUUUGCCAAGGAUGUUUUCA